CUACUCAACAAAACCUAGCCCCUCUUCGAUGAGAAAAAGUUCUCUCCCUCAGCCAUCUAUCUUGUCCAUCUCGAUCCGUACCAUCCUUUGUAGAUUUCCUACCCCUUCAAUCCAAUUUCUCCUCUCCUCUUUCUUUCUCACCCAUCCAUUCCUAAAUCUCCAGGAGCCCAGAAAGAGCGAUGUACUUAAUUUGCUGGCUAAGAUUGAACUUCUUCACUAGAUUUCUAUCAAAUCCGGUCGAUUCACUAGCUAGAAGAUCUACGAACCCAGACGUUCAUCUAGAAAGAAAUUUGAUGAAACACAAAGGAAAAGAAGCCCUGUUGGCCAAAUUCUUAUGAACCUCGACUAUUUGCAUUUGAAUCAUAUUCUUCAUCUAGAGUGUCAAGUUUCAUUACAUAUUUGUUCUUGCGUACUUGGCCAAGGUGAUGAUUGUUUGGACUUGCCAAGAUGUUGACUUAAGAUGAUCUUGCUUGCGAUGCACAAUGUCUUGAAGCUAUCUAUAUCAAAUGUAUCUUAAUUCAGGAGGAUUGGUAGUUGUAUGUGUCCCAUCUGAUAUCCCUUGUAGUUCCAAAUCAGAUAUGAUC